ensembl:lncRNA
CAUUUUUAUUAAUAAAACACAUAUGCGACGUGCCACUCAGAGCAUUCCGUGGAGAGAAAACGAGUUUCCCCACCAGGUGAAUAAAAUUUCACCCAGAGGCAGGCAACAAACCACCUUCUGGUCUGGGAAUCGUGGGCGCUGCACUUGACAGCCCAGUCGCUGGGCCUCUGCCGCUAAGCCAGCCGCCUGCCCUGAGUCUCCGAAGUUGGAGGAGACCAUUUCAGCUGCUCCCGGCUUGCCUUGCUGUCCCCGCUGGAAUCAGCAGACCCUGACUUUUGGAGAAGCGUUACUGCGAUGUGUCAGCUGCUCCGGGAGAGCCCAGAGUGAUGUAUUCCAAGACCUGUCAGGAGAAAGGGUUUAUGGUUAUGGGGGUCUGAUCCCUGGUUGGGGAACUAAGAUCCCACAUGCCAUGGAACAACCAAGCCCCUGCGCUGCUGGCAACUACUGAUCCCGCCUGCUUUAGAGACUGUGCUCCACAACCAGGAAGCCCCCACACGCCACUGUGAAGACCCAGCACAGCCCACCCCCGCCC